rnacentral:rRNA from 1 species
CGCGUGAGUGAUGAAGGUUUUCGGAUCGUAAAGCUCUGUUGUUAGGGAAGAACAAGUGCCGUUCAAAUACGGCGGCCCCUUGACGGUACCUAACCAGAAAGCCACGGCUAACUACGUGCCAGCAGCCGCGGUAAUACGUAGGUGGCAAGCGUUGUCCGGAAUUAUUGGGCGUAAAGGGCUCGCAGGCGGUUUCUUAAGUCUGAUGUGAAAGCCCCCGGCUCAACCGGGGAGGGUCAUUGAAAACUGGGGAACUUGAGUGCAGAAAAGGAGAGUGAAAUUCCACGUGUAGCGGUGAAAUGCGUAAAGAUGUGAAGGAACACCAUUGGCAAAGGCGACUCUCUGGCCUGUAACUGACCCUGAGGAGCAAAAGCGGGGGGAGCGAACAGGAUUAAAUACCCUGGUAGUCCACCCCGUAAACAAUGAGUGCUAAAUGUUAGGGGGUUUCCGCCCCUUAUUGCUGCAUCUAACGCAUUAACCACUCCCCCUGGGGAGUACGGUCGCAAGACUGAAACUCAAAGGAAUUGAGGGGGGCCCGCACAAGCGGGAGAGCAUGUGUUAUAUUUCUAAGCAACGCAAAGAACCUUACCAGGUCUUGACAUCCUCUGACAAUCCUAGAGAUAG